GACGAACGCUGGCGGCGUGCCUAAUACAUGCAAGUUGAGCGAUGAAGCUUGGUGCUUGCACCAAUUUGAAGAGCAGCGAACGGGUGAGUAACGCGUGGGGAAUCUGCCUUUGAGCGGGGGACAACAUUUGGAAACGAAUGCUAAUACCGCAUAACAACUUUAAACAUAAGUUUUAAGUUUGAAAGAUGCAAUUGCAUCACUCAAAGAUGAUCCCGCGUUGUAUUAGCUAGUUGGUGAGGUAAAGGCUCACCAAGGCGAUGAUACAUAGCCGACCUGGGAGGGUGGUCGGCCACAAUGGGACUGAGACACGGCCCAAACUCCUACGGGAGGCAGCAGUAGGGAAUCUUCGGCAAUGGACGAAAGUCUGACCGAGCAACGCCGCGUGAGUGAAGAAGGUUUUCGGAUCGUAAAACUCUGUUGGUAGAGAAGAACGUUGGUGAGAGUGGAAAGCUCAUCAAGUGACGGUAACUACCCAGAAAGGGACGGCUAACUACGUG
rnacentral:rRNA from 1 species